rnacentral:tRNA from 1 species
ACUUUUUUAGUAUAUAAGUAUAAUUAAUUUCCAAUUAAAAGGUUUAAAUAAUUAAAAAAAGUA